AUACAUGCACGCACACACAUAUGGACAUACACACACACAAACACACACAUGUAUGUGAACAAUAAGUUUGCAUAAUUAUAUAAUUAUAUACGCACGUAUGCAUGUCUACAUGUCUGUAUGUAGAUCCAGCAAAACGCCACACGGGGUAUUGAUGCUAUAACACUGCUUGGAUGAGAUAGCGGAUAAACACAUGUACAGACAGAACCAUGGAAAUCAGUUGAAAGACUUUCAACUGCCGAGUAUUCACUUGAUAUUUCUCUUAAUCAUAAACAUUUGAACAAUAUACGUAGCUGCAAUAUACACGCACGUAUCUGUAUGUGUGUGGGUAUAUAUACGGACUGUUGUGUAUAAACGGUGUACGUGUCAAGAAAUCGAUAACAAGACAACAGCGGGGCACUCUUCGUGUGUAGCCGUCAUUGCAACAUGGAUAAAUCAAUGAAUAGACAUCUUUAAAGUGAAAAUUACUAUUUUCUAGUGAGGAAACCUAGGAAUGUAUAGAUUGUUGCGCCCAUAUUCGGAUGAAGGAUAAAGAAUAUCCGAAAUGAACUGAAAAGAAAUGCUACUGAGACUAUGAUAUUACAAAGAGUAAAAUAUAUGAGGAACGACACAACGCAAGCAACACUUGUCUUUCUCAUAUUAAAGUAGCUGUGGAUACUCAUUUCAAUAUAAACAGUGUUGAUGACAUGCUUCUGAAUCGGGAUAUCUUCACCCUCUGCGGAUCUGUACCUACCCAAAAGUUCUAUCUCUAUCCAUAAUACAACAUUCCUUGAGAUUUAACGCGGAUUAUUACAUCUCUGCAUUUUCGAUAUAAGGUAAG